UAUAUUUACAGUAAAAAAUUACAAAAAUAGUAAAAGACAAUGAUUUAGACUUAUGAUCUGCUCUGUGUGGACAGAGCACUGGAGCAUUAUCAUAAAAACAUUAUUAGGUUAUAAAAUUAGACUGGUUAUGACUAGGGAUGAGCGAAUCGACUUCGGAUGAAACUUCCAAAGUAGAUUCACAUAAAGCU